rnacentral:tRNA from 1 species
GCCGCGGUAGCUCAGCAUGGUAGAGCAGGGGGCUGUUAACCCCCGGGUCGGAGGUUCGAGUCCUCCCCGCGGCGCCA